GAUGAAGAACGCAGCGAACUGCGAUAAGUAAUGUGAAUUGCAGAAUUCAGUGAAUCAUCGAGUCUUUGAACGCACAUUGCGCCCCCUGGCAUUCCGGGGGGCAUGCCUGUCCGAGCGUCAUUGCUGCCCUUCAAGCCCGGCUUGUGUGUUGGGUCGUCGUCCCCCCCGGGGGACGGGCCCGAAAGGCAGCGGCGGCACCGCGUCCGGUCCUCGAGCGUAUGGGGCUUUGUCACCCGCUCGAUUAGGGCCGGCCGGGCGCCAGCCGGCGUCUCCAACCUUCUAUUUUACCAGGUUGACCUCAGAUCAGGUAGGGAUACCCGCUGAACUUAAGCAUAUCAAUAAGCGGAGGA
rnacentral:misc_RNA from 1 species